AUAAGCUCAAAAUUGUUGUGCUUAUUUCAUGUGGGAGUUGCUACACAAAAGACUUGAAACAGAAAAACAAAACAAAUAGAAACCUACUGUUAAUUCUACUCCUAAAAUGAAAAAAAAUAAAAAUUAUCCCAAAAUCAAUACAAUCCUCAAAAAUAAAAAUUAAGAGUUCAAUCGUCCUAUGCUUCCUCAAAAUCCAUCUCCUCUCCUUCCUCAUCCCCGC
rnacentral:lncRNA from 1 species